GACGAACGCUGGCGGCGUGCCUAAUACAUGCAAGUUGAGCGCUGAAGGUUGGUACUUGUACCAACUGGAUGAGCAGCGAACGGGUGAGUAACGCGUGGGGAAUCUGCCUUUGAGCGGGGGACAACAUUUGGAAACGAAUGCUAAUACCGCAUAAAAACUUUAAACACAAGUUUUAAGUUUGAAAGAUGCAAUUGCAUCACCCAAAGAUGAUCCCGCGUUGUAUUAGCUAGUUGGUGAGGUAAAGGCUCACCAAGGCGAUGAUACAUAGCCGACCUGAGAGGGUGAUCGGCCACAUUGGGACUGGGACACGGCCCAAGCUCCUACGGGAGGCAGCAGUAGGGAAUCUUCGGCAAUGGACGAAAGUCUGACCGAGCAACGCCGCGUGAGUGAAGAAGGUUUUCGGAUCGUAAAACUCUGUUGGUAGAGAAGAACGUUGGUGAGAGUGGAAAGCUCAUCAAGUGACGGUAACUACCCAGAAAGGGACGGCUAACUACGUG
rnacentral:rRNA from 1 species